rnacentral:rRNA from 1 species
CAUGCAAGUCGAACGGCAGCGGGGGUGCUUGCACCUGCCGGCGAGUGGCGAACGGGUGAGUAAUGCAUCGGAACGUACCCAGUCGUGGGGGAUAACGCAGCGAAAGCUGUGCUAAUACCGCAUACGUCCUGAGGGAGAAAGCAGGGGAUCUUCGGACCUUGUGCGAUUGGAGCGGCCGAUGUCAGAUUAGCUAGUUGGUGAGGUAAAAGCUCACCAAGGCGACGAUCUGUAGCUGGUCUGAGAGGAUGAUCAGCCACACUGGAACUGAGACACGGUCCAGACUCCUACGGGAGGCAGCAGUGGGGAAUUUUGGACAAUGGGGGCAACCCUGAUCCAGCCAUGCCGCGUGAGUGAAGAAGGCCUUCGGGUUGUAAAGCUCUUUCGGCCGGGAAGAAAUCGUGCAGGCUAAUACCCUGUAUGGAUGACGGUACCGGAAUAAGAAGCACCGGCUAACUACGUGCCAGCAGCCGCGGUAAUACGUAGGGUGCGAGCGUUAAUCGGAAUUACUGGGCGUAAAGCGUGCGCAGCGGUUUUGUAAGACAGGCGUUGAAAUCCCCGGCUCAACCUGGGAACUGCGCUUGUGACUGCAAGACUAGAGUACCGGCAUAGGG